rnacentral:rRNA from 1 species
UACAGAGGGGGCAAGCGUUGUUCGGAAUCACUGGGCGUAAAGGGCGCGUAGGCGGCGCGGGAAGUCAUCGGUGAAAGUUCAGGGCUCAACUCUGAAUCGGCCGGUGAUACUCUCGUGCUCGAGCACUGUAGAGGCAGGUGGAAUUCCGGGUGUAGCGGUGGAAUGCGUAGAGAUCCGGAAGAACACCGGUGGCGAAGGCGGCCUGCUGGGCAGUAGCUGACGCUGAUGCGCGACAGCGUGGGGAGCAAACAGG